rnacentral:rRNA from 1 species
GAUGAACGCUGGCGGCGUGCCUAAUACAUGCAAGUCGAGCGAACGGACGAUAAGCUUGCUUCUCUGAUGUUAGCGGCGGACGGGUGAGUAACACGUGGAUAACCUAUCUAUAAGACUGGGAUAACUUCGGGAAACCGGAGCUAUUACCGGAUGAUAUUUUGAACCGCAUGGUUCAAAAGUGAAAGACGGUUUUGCUGUCACUUAUAGAUGUAUCCGCGCUGCAUUAGCUAGUUGGUAAGGUAACGGCUUACCAAGGCAACGAUGCAUAGCCGACCUGAGAGGGUGAUCGGCCACACUGGAACUGAGACACGGUCCAGACUCCUACGGGAGGCAGCAGUAGGGAAUCUGCCGCAAUGGGCGAAAGCCUGACGGAGCAACGCCGCGGGAGUGAUGAAGGUCUGCGGAUCGUAAAACUCUGUUAUUAGGGAAGAACAUAUGUGUAAGUAACUGUGCACGUCUUGACGGUACCUAAUCAGAAAGCCACGGCUAACUACGUG